rnacentral:rRNA from 1 species
UACGGAGGGUGCAAGCGUUGCUCGGAAUUAUUGGGCGUAAAGGGUAGGUAGGUGGUCUCAUUUGUCUGGGGUGAAAGCCUUGAGCUUAACUCAAGAAGUGCCCCAGAAACGGUGAGACUAGAGUCCUGGAGAGGGUCGUGGAAUUCCCGGUGUAGCAGUGAAAUGCGUAGAGAUCGGGAGGAACAUCAGUUGCGAAGGCGGCUCUCUGGACCAGCACUGACACUGAGGCACGAAAGCGUGGGGAGCAAACAGG